GGGACUCCUCCCGUCGGGCUGGUGGUCCACCCCGGCCCGCGGGGUGACGCGGGGGCCUCCGCCGUCACCGGCUCCAGCCUGAGCAGCGGGGUCCCGGACGGGGGAGGCGGAGGGGACUUGGGCCGAACUCAGGCUCCGACGCCGGGGCGGGGCUGCGGUAGGGUUUCCUCAGAUAACGAGAACUUUCCAGCCCUCGGCGAUUAGAUGCAGGCAGGCAGCGGUUGGCCCUUUCCUCCUGGUCGGUGAGAGCACUCAGAGCGCGCUCGGUUUGGGGGAUCCAGGUGAGUUCACGGGAAGAUCUGUGUGCGGGCUGAAUGCGUGCUGGCUGCUUUUCUGCCUGGUUCCGUGUACCCGAAGUGUAAUUGUUGGGGGCUUGGAACUCUCCAGGUUUCUUUGGUUUCAUUUACUCAACCAUGUAACUUCUGAAUGCUGACCUGCUUAAGACCCUGUUUUGUAUGGAUAUAAAUAAAAGGGGUCCGUCCCCAAGGAGACUUUUUCAUGCACUUUAUGGUUUUCGUCCCCAGGGACCUGUGUGCAGUGAGUCACCUCUGCUGCUGAGAUGUACUACGGUUCCCAGCUGAAGAGACUGAGCCGCUGAUGGUUCUCUGUAGGAAGUGAAGACGGGGACCACGAGGACAGUGACUCCCAAAGGUGGACGCUUGUGAGGAGUCAGCAGAUCCGGUGACGUGUUCGGGAGCACUUCAGACCCGUGAGCUGGCUGCUGCCCAUUCUUGGGUUUUCAGGGCACUUCACGGUGUCUCUGGCUGCGAGCUUCCAGGACGCUGCCGUGCGUCGGGUCCUGGGGUACAAGGUGCUCUUGGCCACGGGAGGGUCCUGCCUGCUACCGGGAACUGAGGACAGUUCAUCAGUGUGUGCAAACGUGAAAACACGCCUCGAGUUUGGGCUCUUCGCUGUGUGUGAAGGGUCGCUCCGUAGAAAAGGAAGCAUACUGUGUGCAAAUGGUGUGAUUUCAUCUGUGAAGGUCACGGACAGGAACCCUAGACUGUGGUGUAGAAGAGGUUCCCUCUGGGACGUGGGUGACUGGGAAGAGGGUGAGGGGCCUCUGGGGGGUGGUCAUGGGAGAGCUCUUGGCUGGGGCUGUGGUCACACAGGUGCAUCUCUCCGAGAUACCCACCCGUUUGCUGAGGAUCUGUGAUUUUGCUUGAAUGCUAUACUUUAAUAAAAAAUUACUUAAAAAUAU